rnacentral:rRNA from 1 species
GACGAACCGUGCGAACGUUGUUCGGAAUCACUGGGCUUAAAGGGUGCGUAGGCGGACAUUCAAGUCAGGGGUGAAAUCCUCCAGCUUAACUGGAGAACUGCCUCUGAUACUGGAUGUCUCGAGUGAGGUAGGGGCGUGCGGAACUGAUGGUGGAGCGGUGAAAUGUGUUGAUAUCAUCAGGAACUCCGGUGGCGAAGGCGGCGACCUGGUCCUUGACUGACGCUGAGGCGCGAAAGCGUGGGGAGCAAACAGG